UCCUACUAGGGGUGCUUUUUUACAUGAGCAACCUGAUAGGAAAAGUCUUAAAGACAAAUGAAUUCGGGCAACCGAAUAAAGAUUGUCCCGAACAAAAGCAAUUUGCAUCGCAUAUCGGUAUCCUCACCCGUACUCAUAUCCUGAUCAUAUACCAGGACUUUUGCCAGGUGCUUCAUGCACACAUUCAAAUGAUCAUGGAGUCAUUGUCACAGGCUUAUGAGUUUGAGGGUCAAAGUUGGGAUGCGAGUCUUACAUACGUAACAAAACGCAUCAAGGAAACAUGGCAAAUUACAAGAAAAGGUUGACUGCAAAAUAUAUUAAAGACACGGAUCCUGCAGUUGUGAGAGAUAGUCCUGCCCCCCCAGGUGUCCCUAUGGAGGAUUGGUUAGUCUUCGUGAAUCAACAUAGCACUGAGGAAUUCAAGAGAGCAAGCGAAAGGAAUAAAGUCAAUCGGUCCAAGCCAAAAGGACCUGCGUGUCUUAGGAGGAACAGCAUGGUUGUUAUUCGCCAUCAGAUGGCGAAGGAGAGGAAUCUUACCUCUGAUGUCGAGAUAGGUAGAUAUGAUGUUCACUUAAGAGCCCAUACAAGCAAGGACAAAGUUGUCUAGUAUCCUGACCUUGUUGAAAAAUUAGAUGAGCUUUAUUCUAGUAAUCCUUGUUCUAAGAUUACCGGCAUUGACGAUGCCCUUACACAGGUAAU